GUUUAUUCUCGGCCUUUUGGCUAAGAUCAAGUGUAGUAUCUGUUCAUAUCAGUUUAAUAUCUGACAUGUCCUCUAUCCAAGGGCAAUAUAUUAAAUGGAUUUUUGGAGCAGGGAGAUGGAACGGGAGAUUGUUCCGUCCACUCCAUGCAUCAACCUGGUAUUAGAGUAUCUCCAGGAACGGUGCACUCCCU
ensembl:snRNA U2 U2 spliceosomal RNA